GGGUUGUGAGGUUAAGCGACUAAGCGUACACGGUGGAUGCCACGGCAGUCAGAGGCGAUGAAGGACGUGCUAAUCUGCGAAAAGCGUCGGUAAGGUGAUAUGAACCGUUAUAACCGGCGAUGUCCGAAUGGGGAAACCCAGUGCAAUUCGUUGCACUAUCGUUAACUGAAUACAUAGGUUAACGAGGCGAACCGGGGAACUGAAACAUCUAAGUACCCCGAGGAAAAGAAAUCAACCGAGAUUCCCCCAGUAGCGGCGAGCGAACGGGGAGCAGCCCAGAGUCUGAAUCAGCUUGUGUGUUAGUGGAACGGUCUGGAAAGUCCGACGGUACAGGGUGAUAGUCCCGUACACCAAAAUGCACAGGUUGUGAACUCGAAGAGUAGGGCGGGACACGUGGUAUCCUGUCUGAAUAUGGGGACCAUCCUCCAAGGCUAAAUACUCCUGACUGACCGAUAGUGAACCAGUACCGUGAGGGAAAGGCGAAAAGAACCCCGGCGAGGGGAGUGAAAAGAACCUGAAACCGUGUACGUACAAGCAGUGGGAGCACCUUCGGGUGUGACUGCGUACCUUUGUAUAAUGGGUCAGCGACUUAUAUUCUGUAGCAAGGUUAACCGUAUAGGGGAGCCGCAGGAAACCGAGUCUUAACUGGGCGUUAAGUUGCAGGGUAUAGACCCGAAACCCGGUGAUCUAGCCAUGGGCAGGUUGAAGGUUGGGUAACACUAACUGGAGGACCGAACCGACUAAUGUUGAAAAAUUAGCGGAUGACUUGUGGCUGGGGUGAAAGGCCAAUCAAACCGGGAGAUAGCUGGUUCUCCCCGAAAGCUAUUUAGGUAGCGCCUCGUGAAUUCAUCUUCGGGGUAGAGCACUGUUUCGGCUAGGGGUCAUCCCGACUUACCAACCCGAUGCAAACUACGAAUACCGAAGAAUGUUAUCACGGGAGACACACGGCGGGUGCUAACGUCCGUCGUGAAGAGGGAAACAACCCAGACCGCCAGCUAAGGUCCCAAAGUCAUGGUUAAGUGGGAAACGAUGUGGGAAGGCACAGACAGCCGGAUGUUGGCUUAGAAGCAGCCAUCAUUUAAAGAAAGCGUAAUAGCUCACUGGUCGAGUCGGCCUGCGCGGAAGAUGUAACGGGGCUAAACCAUGCACCGAAGCUGCGGCAGCGACACUAUGUGUUGUUGGGUAGGGAGCGUUCUGUAAGCCUGCGAAGGUGUGCUGUGAGGCAUGCUGGAGGUAUCAGAAGUGCGAAUGCUGACAUAAGUAACGAUAAAGCGGGUGAAAAGCCCGCUCGCCGGAAGACCAAGGGUUCCUGUCCAACGUUAAUCGGGGCAGGGUGAGUCGACCCUAAGGCGAGGCCGAAAGGCGUAGUCGAUGGGAAACAGGUUAAUAUUCCUGUACUUGGUGUUACUGCGAAGGGGGGACGAGAGGCUAUGUUAGCCGGGCGACGGUUGUCCCGGUUUAAGCAUGUAGGCUGAUUAUCGGGCAAAUCCGGAUAAUCAAGGCUGAGGUGUGAUGACGAGGCACUACGGUGCUGAAGUAACAAAUGCCCUGCUUCCGGAAAAGCCUCUAAGCAUCAGGUAACAUCAAAUCGUACCCCAAACCGACACAGGUGGUCAGGUAGAGAAUACCAAGGCGCUUGAGAGAACUCGGGUGAAGGAACUAGGCAAAAUGGUGCCGUAACUUCGGGAGAAGGCACGCUGGUGUGUAGGUGAAGCCCCUGCGGGUGGAGCUGAGACCAGUCGAAGAUACCAGCUGGCUGCAACUGUUUAUUAAAACACAGCACUGUGCAAACACGAAAGUGGACGUAUACGGUGUGACGCCUGCCCGGUGCCGGAAGGUUAAUUGAUGGGGUUAUCCGUAAGGAGAAGCUCUUGAUCGAAGCCCCGGUAAACGGCGGCCGUAACUAUAACGGUCCUAAGGUAGCGAAAUUCCUUGUCGGGUAAGUUCCGACCUGCACGAAUGGCGUAAUGAUGGCCGGGCUGUCUCCACCCGAGACUCAGUGAAAUUGAACUCGCUGUGAAGAUGCAGUGUACCCGCGGCAAGACGGAAAGACCCCGUGAACCUUUACUAUAGCUUGACACUGAACAUUGAGCCUUGAUGUGUAGGAUAGGUGGGAGGCUUUGAAGCGUGGACGCCAGUCUGCGUGGAGCCAACCUUGAAAUACCACCCUUUAAUGUUUGAUGUUCUAACGUUGGCCCCUUACCGGGGUUGCGGACAGUGUCUGGUGGGUAGUUUGACUGGGGCGGUCUCCUCCUAAAGCGUAACGGAGGAGCACGAAGGUUAGCUAAUCCUGGUCGGACAUCAGGAGGUUAGUGCAAUGGCAUAAGCUAGCUUGACUGCGAGCGUGACGGCGCGAGCAGGUGCGAAAGCAGGUCAUAGUGAUCCGGUGGUUCUGAAUGGAAGGGCCAUCGCUCAACGGAUAAAAGGUACUCCGGGGAUAACAGGCUGAUACCGCCCAAGAGUUCAUAUCGACGGCGGUGUUUGGCACCUCGAUGUCGGCUCAUCACAUCCUGGGGCUGAAGUAGGUCCCAAGGGUAUGGCUGUUCGCCAUUUAAAGUGGUACGCGAGCUGGGUUUAGAACGUCGUGAGACAGUUCGGUCCCUAUCUGCCGUGGGCGCUGGAGAAUUGAGGGGGGCUGCUCCUAGUACGAGAGGACCGGAGUGGACGCAUCACUGGUGUUCGGGUUGUCAUGCCAAUGGCACUGCCCGGUAGCUAAAUGCGGAAGAGAUAAGUGCUGAAAGCAUCUAAGCACGAAACUUGCCCCGAGAUGAGUUCUCCCUGAGACUUUAAGUCUCCUGAAGGAACGUUGAAGACGACGACGUUGAUAGGCCGGGUGUGUAAGCGCAGCGAUGCGUUGAGCUAACCGGUACUAAUGAACCGUGAGGCUUAACCUUACAACGCCGAAG
rnacentral:rRNA from 1 species